rnacentral:rRNA from 1 species
AUGCCGCCGGCUGUCGUGCCCGUCGAAGACGGCGGCUGCGGCGGCGCCAAGAAGGAGGAGGCCGUGUGCCAAAGCUGCCACGUCGCGUGGUCGGCGUGGCUGUCCCGCCUCGGCCGGUGCCUCCUCGCCUCCACGCUCCACCCGUGUCACGCCGCGCUCGGCCUCUCCCCGCCGGCGCCCUGCUUCGCCUCCUCCCCCGCCGUCGUCCGGGGCACGCUCUUCCUCCCGUCAACCGGCGACCGCCGCGUCCGCCUCUUCCUGCACGAGCACGCGGCGGCGGCGCCCGCGGAGUCCGCCGCGCCCGCGCCGAUCCUGGUCCUCGACCUGCCGGCCGGCCUCGUGGGCGCGGACAUCGCCGCCGCCGGCAGGAUCGUGCUCGAGUGCCAGCGGGAGUGGGCCGGCAGCGGAGGCGCUCUCCUGGAGUCGCCGAAGUGGCAGGUGUACUGCAACGGCAGCCGCGUGGGGUUCGCGGCGAGGCGGGAGACGAUGUCGGACGGGGAGGGGUGGGCGAUGGACAAGCUCUGGGCCGUGACUGCCGGCGCGGGGCGGCUUCCCGGCGGAGGGGUGGAGUACCUGCGGGGCCAGUUUGAGAGGAUCGUCGGGUCGGCCGAUGCGGAGUCGUUCCACCUCGUGGAGCCGCUGGGGUGGCUGGGAGUUCACGGCGACGGCGGCCUUAGCGUCUUCUUCCAUCGGAUUUGA